UUAAGUUCAGCGGGUCUUCCUACCUGAUCCGAGGUCAACCUUGGGUAAAUAAGGCUUUUUAACGGCCGGAACCCGCAGCACGCCCUGAGCGAGAUGUAUUACUACGCUCGGAGUGACUAGCGAGCCCGCCACUGGUUUCAGGGCCUGCCGGCAGGCCGCAGGUCCCCAACCACAAGCCGGGGGCUUGAUGGUUGAAAUGA
rnacentral:misc_RNA from 1 species